CUCAGAUGUUCGGCGCCCUCCCCAGGCCUGGGCUCGCUCUGUGGUUUCCUCGGGCCGCGCCCCCGCGCUCCGGCAGCUGCCCGGGCUCUCCGCUCUCCCGGCGCCCGGCGCUCGCCUCUGGCCUGGGACGGCGCUGCUCCUGCUCCUGCUCCCGCUCCCGCUCCCGGAGCGCGGGCUUCCCCGGGAGUCGCUGUCCGCUCGGCAGCCUCACA
rnacentral:lncRNA from 1 species